rnacentral:misc_RNA from 1 species
GAAAUGCGAUACGUAAUGUGAAUUGCAGAAUUCCGUGAAUCAUCGAAUCUUUGAACGCACAUUGCGCCCCCUGGUACUCCGGGGGGCAUGCCUGUUCGAGCGUCAUUUCAACCCUCAAGCUCUGCUUGGUGUUGGGCCGCGCCGGUUCGCCGGCGGGUCUCAAAAUCAGUGGCGGCGCCAUCUGGCUCCACGCGUAGUAGUUUUCUCUCGCGUCCGGACGCUCGGUGGUGGCUAGCCAGCAACCCCCCAUUUUCACAGGUUGACCUCGGAUCAGGUAGGGAUACCCGCUGAACUUAA